GAUGAACGCUGGCGGCGUGCCUAAUACAUGCAAGUCGAGCGAACGGACGAGAAGCUUGCUUCUCUGAUGUUAGCGGCGGACGGGUGAGUAACACGUGGAUACCCUACCUAUCAGACUGGGAUAACUUCGGGAAACCGGAUCUAAUACCGUAUAAUAUUUUGAACCGCAUGGUUCAAAAGUGAAAUACGGUCUUGCUGUCACGUAUAGAUGGUUUCGCGCUGCAUUAGCUAGUUGGUAAGGUAACGGCUUACCAAGGCAACGAUGCAUAGCCGACCUGAGAGGGUGAUCGGCCACACUGGAACUGAGACACGGUCCAGACUCCUACGGGAGGCAGCAGUAGGGAAUCGUCCGCAAUAGGCGGAAGCCUGACGGAGCAACGCCGCGUGAGUGAUGAAGGUCUUCGGAUCGUAAAACUCUGUUAUUAGGGAAGAACAUAUGUGUAAGUAACUGUGCACAUCUUGACGGUACCUAAUCAGAAAGCCACGGCUAACUACGUG
rnacentral:rRNA from 1 species